GAGCGAAGGUAAUCAAUCAGGUGCAAGCUUUUAGUGAAGUGGCAAGUGAAAUAGAUAAUUUCGAGUCUUCGGACAACUCUCUCGUGGACUCCACAUACAAUUCAUCUUCCGGAGAAUCUGACGAAGAAAUUGAAGAAGAGGAAAUGUACCGAAGAAGAACGAAUCAAAUGAUGAGGACGGUGAAGCAAAUCAAAUAAUAGUUUGGACUAAAAACCACUCGGAACCUUUCGACGAAGUUCUAGUUAAAUUUCGACAAUCAUCUGUCCAACGAAUCCAACAAUUCACGAGGUCAGGAAGUAAUGACAUCGGCCUAUUCUUAAAUCUUUACCCUGCGUACAAGAAAAACAAUGGGUAUAUUCUGAUUCUUAAAGAUUUUGAACAGAUAUAUCCCGGGAAAGCCGACCGCUUGCUGCAGAAUUGGGAAUCUUUUGCUCCCAAGUUAUUAGACAGAGGAAUAUUUUUGGCAGACAAUUGCUCUGAGAUCGAACGAACUUUAAGAUCAUUGAACAUAAUUUUAGCUCCAAAAGAUGAUUGGGAACGAACCCUUCAUUCUUUGAUGUUGCUGCCAAUUUUGUUACCCAGUAAAAACGACAGGAAGUGGAAACCAAGCAGAAUUGAAUCAAAAGAUGGGUUCUUACUGUACGCUGAAACCAAUCAGGAAGCAAUCCAGAAGUUAGUAUUAAGGAAAAAGAUACUGCAGCAAAGUGGGUAUCCAGAGCAGCCCAUUCCAGUUGUAGUAGGUAAUGAAUGCAAUGUCUGCAUAGGCAAUAUAAUAUACAAAGUUGACACACCACUAUUAGCACUGGAUGUUUGUUGCAAA
rnacentral:lncRNA from 1 species